rnacentral:rRNA from 1 species
GAUGAACGCUGGCGGCAGGCCUAACACAUGCAAGUCGAGCGGAGCGGCGGACGGGGGAGUAAUGCAUAGGAAUCUGCCUGGUAGUGGGGGAUAACGUCCGGAAACGGGCGCUAAUACAGCAUAGUAUAAGAUGAGGGUAGGUGGGACUGGGUAGUUGGUUGGGUAAAGGCUUACCGAGGCGACGAUCCGUAACUGGUCUGAGCGGAUGAUCAGUCAAACGGGAACUUAGACACGGUCCAAACUCCUACGCGAGGCAGCAGUGGGGAAUAUUGGAAAAUGGGCGAAAGCCUGAUCGAGCGAUGCCGCGUGUGUGAAGAAGGUCUGCGGAGUGUAAAGUUCUUUAAGUUGGGAGGCGUUACCAACAGAAUAAGCACCGGCUAACUACGUGCCAGCAGCCGCGGUAAUUC